ensembl:lncRNA
GGUGCUUCCUUACUUCUGAGCCACCUGCGUGGGAGGAAGCUGAGGACGUGAAGCUCCACCUCAGAUCAUCAGGGAUUAGAUCCCAGAGGUUGGGAACCCCUGUCCUAGAGAACCUGUCUGCAAAGCCUAAAAUAUUUGCCAGCUGGCCCUUUACAGAGAAAGUUUGUGGAUACCUGCUUGGAUGCACAGUGCUUGGUUUGGAGCGUGGCGACAGACGGGCUGAGCUGAGAACUGGAGCUGUCGGAAGGACGGGCACACUCUCCCAGUUCAACAAUCUGCCUGCAGGAAUCUGAAAGAGACUCAGGAUAUCUUAACUCUUCGAGGAAGCGGGCUUCUUAACUUGGAGUCCCUGUGGGGGUCACAGAGCUUGGGGAUUAUCUAUGUCACUGGAGGAGUUAUCUAGCUAGUGCCUCACCAUGCAUCUGCUGAGAAAGCAUUCAUCAUUCCUGCACAUGUGUCCUUCAGCACCUGUGUGUGUGUGUGUGUGUGUGUGUGUGUGGCUGUAUACCUGAAUUUACAUAAUCUGUGGGCUUUAAGUCUCCCAGCUAUGAAAAUCAAGUGUUUAUCCUGCCUUUUCCACACAAACUCUCUCAAG